UGGGGAAUAUUGGACAAUGGAGGCAACUCUGAUCCAGCAAUUCUGUGUGUGUGAAGAAGGUUUUAGGACUGUAAAACACUUUUAGUAGGGAAGAAAGAAAUGACGGUACCUACAGAAGAAGCGACGGCUAAAUACGUGCCAGCAGCCGCGGUAAUACGUAUGUCGCGAGCGUUAUCCGGAAUUAUUGGGCUUAAAGGGCAUCUAGGCGGUUAAACAAGUUGAAGGUGAAAACCUGUGGCUCAACCAUAGGCUUGCCUACAAAACUGUAUAACUAGAGUACUGGAAAGGUGGGUGGAACUACACGAGUAGAGGUGAAAUUCGUAGAUAUGUGUAGGAAUGCCGAUGAUGAAGAUAACUCACUAGACGGCGACUGACGCUGAAGUGCGAAAGCUAGGGGAGCAAACAGG
rnacentral:rRNA from 1 species